rnacentral:rRNA from 1 species
CUGCUGCCUUCCGUAGGAGUUUGGACCGUGUCUCAGUUCCAAUGUGGGGGACCUUCCUCUCAGAACCCCUAUCCAUCGUUGUCUUGGUGGGCCGUUACCCCGCCAACUAACUAAUGGAACGCAUCCCCAUCUCAUACCGAAAUUCUUUAAUAAUCCCAUCAUGCGGUAGGACUAUAACAUCGGGUAUUAAUCUUUCUUUCGAAAGGCUAUCCCCGAGUAUGAGGCAGGUUGGAUACGUGUUACUCACCCGUGCGCCGGUCGCCAUCAAAAGUUUG